rnacentral:lncRNA from 1 species
UUGAUAACUCUCAUACAAUUUGAGGUCCACCUUGCGAAGAUAAGGUGCUCCAUCCAUGGAAACCUUCACAAACGCCGCAACGCUGCCUCCACCCGCUGUGGCUGCCACCACCUUCUCGGUUUCCUCAUUCUUACUUGGCUGGUGGUUUGAUGGGAUCUUUGUUGUUCUUAGUUGAAUUCUGCAACUUGUUAUCAUUGAGAUCAGUUGAAGAAGACUGAUCAUUGGUUUGAAGGUUAAGCAUAAGAUCAACAGUCUGUGAGUAGCCACGUUUUCCUGUGACCUUUAAAGCUGUAUCUGCUUCACACCCUCCUCCAGGCAAGCCAAGGCAUAACUCAGUUUCCUUGAGGUGCAUCAUGCUUUUCUUUUAGAUUUAAUAAUCAAAAGUCUCUUUUCCUACUGCUUCUUGCUUGUACUUUCAAGUCUUUCUUUCUUACUUAUGAGAGAAAGAGAGAGAGAGAGAUAGAGAGAGAGAGAGAGAGAG